rnacentral:rRNA from 1 species
AACGAACGCUGGCGGCAUGCCUAACACAUGCAAGUCGAACGAAGGCUUCGGCCUUAGUGGCGCACGGGUGCGUAACGCGUGGGAAUCUGCCCUUAGGUUCGGAAUAACAGCUGGAAACGGCUGCUAAUACCGGAUGAUAUCGCGAGAUCAAAGAUUUAUCGCCUGAGGAUGAGCCCGCGUUGGAUUAGGUAGUUGGUGGGGUAAAGGCCUACCAAGCCGACGAUCCAUAGCUGGUCUGAGAGGAUGAUCAGCCACACUGGGACUGAGACACGGCCCAGACUCCUACGGGAGGCAGCAGUGGGGAAUAUUGGACAAUGGGCGAAAGCCUGAUCCAGCAAUGCCGCGUGAGUGAUGAAGGCCCUAGGGUUGUAUAGCUCUUUUACCCGGGAAGAUAAUGACUGUACCGGGAGAAUAAGCCCCGGCUAACUACGUGCCAGCCGCCGCAGUAA